GGCCCUACGGGGCGCAGCAGGCGCGAAAACUCUACAAUGCAGGCAACUGCGAUAGGGGAACAUCGAGUGAUACUCAUUUUGGGUGUCUGUCCUCCCGUCUAAAAAAACGGGCAGUUAGCAAGGGCCGGGCAAGACCGGUGCCAGCCGCCGCGGUAAUACCGGCGGCUCGAGUGGUGGCCGAUAUUAUUGAGUCUAAAGGGUCCGUAGCCGGCUUUGCAAGUCUUUUGGGAAAUCCAGCGGCUUAACCGUUGGUCGUCCGGGAGAUACUACAUUGCUU
rnacentral:rRNA from 1 species